rnacentral:rRNA from 1 species
UAGAGUUUGAUCCUGGCUCAGAUUGAACGCUGGCGGCAUGCCUUACACAUGCAAGUCGAACGGCAGCACGGGAGCAAUCCUGGUGGCGAGUGGCGAACGGGUGAGUAAUACAUCGGAACGUGCCCUGUAGUGGGGGAUAACUAGUCGAAAGACUAGCUAAUACCGCAUACGACCUGAGGGUGAAAGUGGGGGACCGCAAGGCCUCAUGCUAUAGGAGCGGCCGAUGUCUGAUUAGCUAGUUGGUGGGGUAAAGGCCUACCAAGGCGACGAUCAGUAGCUGGUCUGAGAGGACGAUCAGCCACACUGGGACUGAGACACGGCCCAGACUCCUACGGGAGGCAGCAGUGGGGAAUUUUGGACAAUGGGGGCAACCCUGAUCCAGCAAUGUCGCGUGUGUGAAGAAGGCCUUCGGGUUGUAUAGCACUUUUGUCCGGGAAGAAAUCGCACCUGAUAAUACCGGGUGUGGAUGACGGUACCGGAAGAAUAAGGACCGGCUAACUACGUGCCAGCAGCCGCGGUAAUACGUAGGGUCCAAGCGUUAAUCGGAAUUACUGGGCGUAAAGCGUGCGCAGGCGGUUGUGCAAGACCGAUGUGAAAUCCCCGGGCUUAACCUGGGAAUUGCAUUGGUGACUGCACGGCUAGAGUGUGUCAGAGGGGGGUAGAAUUCCACGUGUAGCAGUGAAAUGCGUAGAGAUGUGGAGGAAUACCGAUGGCGAAGGCAGCCCCCUGGGAUAACACUACGCU